ACUCCUACGGGAGGCAGCAGUGGGGAAUAUUGGACAAUGGGCGCAAGCCUGAUCCAGCCMUACCGCGUGGGUGAAGAAGGCCUUCGGGUUGUAAAGCCCUUUUGUUGGGAAAGAAAUCCAGCUGGUUAAUACCCGGUUGGGAUGACGGUACCCAAAGAAUAAGCACCGGCUAACUUCGUGCCAGCAGCCGCGGUAAUACGAAGGGUGCAAGCGUUACUCGGAAUUACUGGGCGUAAAGCGUGCGUAGGUGGUCGUUUAAGUCUGUUGUGAAAGCCCUGGGCUCAACCUGGGAACUGCAGUGGAAACUGGACGACUAGAGUGUGGUAGAGGGUAGCGGAAUUCCUGGUGUARCAGUGAAAUGCGUAGAGAUCAGGAGGAACAUCCAUGGCGAAGGCAGCUACCUGGACCAACACUGACACUGAGGCACGAAAGCGUGGGGAGCAAACAGGAUUAGAUACCCUGGUAGUCCACGCCCUAAACGAUGCGAACUGGAUGUUGGGUGCAAUUUGGCACGCAGUAUCGAAGCUAACGCGUUAAGUUCGCCGCCUGGGGAGUACGGUCGCAAGACUGARACUCAAAGGAAUUGACGG
rnacentral:rRNA from 1 species